rnacentral:rRNA from 1 species
GACGAACGCUGGCGGCGUGCUUAACACAUGCAAGUCGAACGGACAGGCCCUGCUCUUGCGGGGUGCUCGAGUGGCGAACGGGUGAGUAACACGCGAGUAAACUGUCCUUGUCUUUGGGAUAACUUUAGGAAACUGGGGCUAAUACCGGAUAGGAGAUCCUGCUGCAUGGUGGGGGUUGGAAAGAUUCGGCGGUUGGGGAUGGACUCGAGGCUUAUCCGCUUGUUGGUGUGGUAGUGGAUUACCAAGGCUUUGACGGGUAGCCGGCCUGGGAGGGUGACCGGCCACAGUGGGACUGGGAUACGGCCCAGACGCCUACGGGAGGCAGCAGUGGGAAUAUUGCACAAUGGGCGGAAGCCUGAGGCAGCAACGCCGCGUGCGGGAUGACGGCCUUCGGGGUGUAAACCGCUUUCGCCUGUGACGAAGCGUGAGUGACGGUAAUGGGUAAAGAAGCACCGGCUAACUACGUG